AUAUUGCACAAUGGGGGAAACCCUGAUGCAGCGACGCCGCGUGAAGGAAGAAGUAUUUCGGUAUGUAAACUUCUAUCAGCAGGGAAGAAGAAAGUGACGGUACCUGACUAAGAAGCCCCGGCUAACUACGUGCCAGCAGCCGCGGUAAUACGUAGGGGGCAAGCGUUAUCCGGAUUUACUGGGUGUAAAGGGAGCGUAGACGGCGAAGCAAGUCUGGUGUGAAAACCCGGGGCUCAACCCCGGGCCUGCAUUGGAAACUGUUUUGCUCGAGUGCCGGAGAGGUAAGCGGAAUUCCUAGUGUAGCGGUGAAAUGCGUAGAUAUUAGGAGGAACACCAGUGGCGAAGGCGGCUUACUGGACGGUAACUGACGUUGAGGCUCGAAAGCGUGGGGAGCAAACA
rnacentral:rRNA from 1 species